AGGAUGAACGCUGGCGGCGUGCCUAACACAUGCAAGUCGAACGCGCUCCAUUCGGUAGCAAUACUGAUGAAGAGUGAGUGGCGAACGGGUGAGUAACACAUGAGCAACCUGCCCCGAAGACUGGGACAACACCGGGAAACCGGUGCUAAUACCGGAUAUCCCUAUCGGACCGCAUGAUCUGAUAAGGAAAUGGAUUCCGCUUCGGGAGGGGCUCGUGGCCUAUCAGCUAGUUGGUGAGGUAAUAGCUCACCAAGGCAUCGACGGGUAGCUGGUCUGAGAGGACGAUCAGCCACACUGGGACUGAGACACGGCCCAGACUCCUACGGGAGGCAGCAGUGGGGAAUCUUGCGCAAUGGGCGAAAGCCUGACGCAGCAACGCCGCGUGGAGGACGAAUGCUUUCUGAGUUGUAAACUCCUUUCAGCAGGGACGAUUGUGACGGUACCUGCAGAAGAAGCACCGGCCAACUACGUG
rnacentral:rRNA from 1 species